UUUGCUGACGAGCGGCGGACGGGAGAGUAAUGCUUGGGAAUAUGCUUUAUGGUGGGGGACAACAGUUGGAAACGACUGCUAAUACCGCAUGAUGUCUACGGACCAAAGUGGGGGACCUUCGGGCCUCACGCCAUAAGAUUAGCCCAAGUGGGAUUAGCUAGUUGGUGAGGUAAUGGCUCACCAAGGCGACGAUCCCUAGCUGGUUUGAGAGGAUGAUCAGCCACACUGGGACUGAGACACGGCCCAGACUCCUACGGGAGGCAGCAGUGGGGAAUAUUGCACAAUGGGCGCAAGCCUGAUGCAGCCAUGCCGCGUGUGUGAAGAAGGCCUUCGGGUUGUAAAGCACUUUCAGUAAGGAGGAAAGGUUAAGUGUUAAUAGCACUUAGCUGUGACGUUACUUACAGAAGAAGCACCGGCUAACUCCGUGCCAGCAGCCGCGGUAAUACGGAGGGUGCGAGCGUUAAUCGGAAUUACUGGGCGUAAAGCGUACGCAGGCGGUUUGUUAAGCGAGAUGUGAAAGCCCCGGGCUCAACCUGGGAACUGCAUUUCGAACUG
rnacentral:rRNA from 1 species